GCCCGGAUGGCGGAACUGGUAGACGCGCUGGUCUCAAAAACCAGUCUCUUCACUGGGAUGCCGGUUCGAUUCCGGCUCCGGGUA
rnacentral:tRNA from 2 species